rnacentral:rRNA from 1 species
UACGGGGGGGGCAAGCGUUGUUCGGAAUUACUGGGCGUAAAGCGCGCGUAGGCGGCUUUUCAAGUCGGGCGUGAAAGCCCCGGGCUUAACCCGGGAAUGGCGCUCGAUACUGUUGAGCUAGAGUGUGGAAGGGGCUACUGGAAUUCCGUGUGUAGCGGUGAAAUGCGUAGAUAUACGGAGGAAUACCGGUGGCGAAGGCGGCAUCCUGGACCGGCAUUGACGCUGAGGAGCGAAAGCCAGGGGAGCAAACGGG